rnacentral:rRNA from 1 species
AUGGGAGAUAAAAUUAAAGAUAAGAUGGGAGAUGCCAGUGUAGACAAACUAUGUGAGAGUAUGCAAAAAUUAUUUGCCCAGCUUGUUAAGCAAUCCCAGCAAAAAUCUAAAGGAACCAUCACUUUGGAGCCUAACCCGGUCAGGCUUUCUGGACCUGGAAAUUAUUUCAGUUGGUCACGGCAUGCUACUCUGAUUCUAGGAUCUCAUGGCCUCAAACAUUUUUUGGACGGCACUUCUAGGAAACCAGAUGAUAAAUUGGAGUUGGAGCAAUGGGAACAGAAUGAGCAGCGUGUUACGGUGUGGUUGUUGGGGUUGAUGGAGCCUUCGGUCCAUGAGCAGGUUGAGAACCUGCAAACUACAACAGAAGUGUGGAAGGAAAUUGGACAGCAACUCUCUGGCAAAACAAACAAGAUGCAAGUGACAAGGGUGCUCCAUGAGAUGAGAAACCUUAGAGAGAGGUCUAUAACAGAUUAUGCUGGUGAACUGAAAAGGUUAUACAGAGACCUUGAGUUCUUUCGUCCUUUCAAGUCUAAUGAUCCAAAAGACUUGGCUCUUCUUCGUGAAUGGUUUCAGCCCAUUCGUGUUCAAACUUUUUUGGAAGGGCUAAACCAAGAGUUUGAUCUUCUAAGAAAAAUGAUCUAUUCAGCUCCGGAUUGGCCCACCCUUGAUGAAGCAGUAUCUAGUGUUCUCAAAGAGGAGACUCGGUUAUCAAACCAAGUCGUGACCCCACAUGCAAGUGUUGACACUCGUGUUGCUCUCUCUUCACAGGCUCAUACUACAUCUUCUGUUGCUUCUAACAAUGAUCAAGCAAAUCCUACUAAGUUUGAGUACAUGAGAAAGCCAAAGGUAGUAUGUGAUCACUGCAAGCAAACUGGCCACAUAAAGAAGAAUUGUUUUGAUCUGAUUGGAUAUCCACCUGGGUGGCAACAACGACAUGGACGGCUGAAGUUUGGUGAUGCCCGAGGGAAGAAGCAAGAUCUUGUGCAUCUCACUUCAUCCACAAGUGAAUUAUCAGCAGUAGCUGCACCAGCUCUUGAGGAAUUUAAAUCAAAACUCUUAGCUGCAUCCAAUGAAGUUCCUGCUGGCUCUGUGUCCAGUUACCAUGCAUCUCAAGGAACUGAAGACAAGGAAGGUACUUGGGACUGGCACCGAGUGUGA